CCAAUAGCGUAUAUUAGUGUUGUUGCGGUUAAAAAGCUCGUAGUUGAAUUUCGGGAUUGGGAUAUAUCGGUCGUGCCUUUAGGGGCAUGAAACGGUGUGUAGCCAAUUUCUCACCUUCUGGUGAGUCGGGAUGCUCUUGGGUGUUUCGAUGAACCAGGUCAUUUACUUUGAAAAAAUUAGAGUGUUUAAAGCGGGCAUUUUUGCUUGAAUACAUUAGCAUGGAAUAAUAAAAUAGGACGAUGGUUCUAUUUUGUUGGUUUUAGGACUACGUAAUGAUUAAUAGGGAUAGUUGGGGGCAUUAGUAUUCAAUUGUCAGAGGUGAAAUUCUUGGAUUUAUUGAGGACUAACUACUGCGAAAGCAUUUGCCAAGGAUGUUUUCAUUAAUCAAGAACGAAAGUUAGGGGGUCAAAGACGAUUUAUGUACGUCGUAGUCUUAACCAUAAACUAUGCCGACUAGGAAUCAGACAAAGUUCAUUUUUUAACGACUUGUUUGGUACCUUACG
rnacentral:rRNA from 1 species